GGCUGACCGUGGCCCUUUAAGAGCCAGUGUUUCCAGCAGCAGAGAGCGGAGCAGCCCGGAGCCUCACACUGCAGAGAACAUCCACAGCUGCCGGUGGUACCUGACAGCUCCGCUCGGCUCGGCAGACAGGCAGCACCGGGCCGGCUCACCUUACAAUAAAACAGCGUCCUGCAAGGGGGAAUGGGGGGCACCUAGCCCGUUUGCUAGCCGACUUACAUUCCCUAGAAGCGGAGAAGGCUCCAGCAAGAUGGUAUCCUGGAUCAUAUCGAGGAUAGUCGUCCUUGCCUUUGGGACACUCUACCCAGCAUACUCCUCAUACAAGGCUGUCAAGACGAAGAAUGUGAAGGAAUAUGUAAAGUGGAUGAUGUACUGGAUAGUAUUUGCGUUAUUCACUACAGCAGAGACAGCCACAGACCUUCUCCUAUCAUGGUUUCCAUUUUACUUUGAGCUAAAGAUUGCAUUUGUGAUCUGGCUCCUGUCCCCAUACACCAAGGGUUCCAGCGUCCUGUACCGCAAGUUUGUCCACCCAACCUUGUCCAACAAAGAGAAGGAGAUAGAUGAGUACAUAGCACAGGCCAAAGACAGGAGUUAUGAGACCAUGAUGAGGUUUGGAAAACGGGGUCUCAACUUGGCUGCUAAUGCUGCUGUCACUGCAGCUACUAAGGGGCAGGGCGUUUUGUCGGACAAGCUGCGGAGUUUCAGCAUGCAGGACCUGACUCUCAUCAACGCCGAGGACGACCUGGCUCUGCACACUUCAGAUGGCCGCAUGAGACGGGACCCCAUGGACGAGAUGAGCUCAGGGUCCAGCACGCUGCCACGCGCCAAGAGCACCGCUGCACGCCAGACUCGCUCUUUAACAGCUGCAGCCCUUGCUGAUGACACGUCGUCUCAACACAGCUCUGAUCUGUCAGACACAAGAACUGAACACUCCGAUGAAGAUGUGGGCGACAAAGCCCCUAAACGCAGUACCAACACCAAGGCAACCAAGAAACCUGCUGCUGCUAAGACAGAGGCUCAAACCAAGACGGUGAAGAAGCCGACCAAGAAAAAGACGACUGCUAAUAAUGCAGAGACGCCACCAUGAGUCCUGCUCUCCACAUCCACCGACCUACACUCACUCCACCUACAGCCUGCAGUCUCUUCUUCCUGUUUGGUCUCCACACAAACACAUAUACUCUAUAUACACAUGUCAAGCACCAAAACUGUCAAUCUUGCUGGUUUAGGUCAGGAACUGUUCUUUUACAUUUACUGCCUUGCUGGAUUUUUGUCUCACUCUUUCAGAUGAGUGUAUCAGAGACUUAACCGUUAAGGAUGUUCUCUUAGAUAUUUUUAUUUAGUUUGGAGAGAAGUCUGAUUGAAAAUGCUCCCUUUUGCUUUUACACGUAGAAUCUGAAUCUGAAGUUUCGUUAGUGUUUCUGAUGCGCAUCGUGUCACGACUGCAGUUGACCGAGGCUUCUUUGGGUGAAGUAUUGGCAAUAAAAUAUAACAUAGGUGUUUUUAUUUGCUUCUCCUCUGGGCUGUUCCCACAUGGUUCCAGUUGUUCAUACAGGCCACAAGUCUUCAUCUUGACUUGGUCAUCGUGGAAGAAAUCCUCAGAAAGUCUUUUCUUUGGAGCCCAGACAACCAAAACAGUUGUCUUUAUGUAGAUUGCUUUUAACCAAGUACCAGAAAUGAGACAAGAUCAGCCUUUGGGGCCUGCAUCCACCGGUGGCUGUAGACAUCCUGAAUAUUGUUUUAGACGUCAUCAUUCCCACUUAACCUGCACCUCUGCUCAGAGCAGCACUAUGUGUGACCUAACCUGUUUUGGUUCAAGUUUAAUUUUUAACUCUUGGAACCGAUUUUUUUGUUUGUUUGUUUUUUGCCUCAGUUUAAAUUGAGCUUCUCCUCAUUUAGUUUGAAUACCUGAGUGAGUCGGGCUAUGCUACUUUCAGGUUUCACUUUCAGCAGCUUACAUCCUCACUGGUUUAAUGUGACUUUGAAGUUACACACAAUGCUGGAGUGAGGGAGUGGUUUGUUUAGUGCUGGCUUAGGUAUCCUUCAUCUAGACUCUGCUUUUUUGUUGUAUUAAUCUACAAUCAUUAAUUUAUUAAGCUUUGGUUUCAUCCACCUCUUUCAGUCAUGUAUAAUUAGUAAUAAGUAUGAUCAGCUGGGUCUCUUAAAGCAAUGCUGUAACUGAUAGCUCUCUCCCAAGUACAUACAGUAGUCAUAGAUAAGUUGCCAGUGUUUGUGAGGUAACGUAUCUGCUGUCACCACAGUAGUGAUAUAGAUAUAAUUUGUAUAUUUGUGUUUGGCACUGUAAGGCAAUGGAGUAGCUCUGCCCCUUCUUUCACUCCUUUUACCCAACUUUCUACAUCUUACAAGCCAGGAUGAAGCAAAGCUAAAUGGAAAUAAUGAAGCAAACAAAACCAACAUCAGCAGACUGAGAGGAGUCAUUUUCUCGUUCCCGUGUCGCAGUUCCAGAUGUGGAGGGAGAGUCGGAGCAGGCUGUGGGUGUUUCUGAACACACUGGACUUCUAGUUACCAGCCACUGCAUUGGGCAUGGUUUGGUCUGAAUGCACUGAAAUGGGAAAUUUAAAAGCAUGAAGCUACGUCUACGCUCAUCACUGCUGCCUGCGGUGUGACACUAGUUUAAACCAGUAGAGGGAGACAAACCACAACCUCAACUGUUGGCAAAGUUACUUAACAUUAUGUAAACUCGAUGUAAAUAGUUACCUUGACUGUAUAUACAGUUUGAGCUUGCUUGCCUUACUCAUUCUCUGGGCUUAAAUUUAUAUAUUUUUUCUUUUAAAUCAUUUGUGUGCUUUUUUUUUGUUUUGAAUCUUAGUCUUGACAAAUCACAUGUUCUGAGACCAGAGGAGCUUGGGACUUUUCAGUAUAGACUUCUGGUGUUGGAAGUGACUUUUGUAUUUUAAAUUAACAUGGCGACUUUUCUUUCUCUGUCUUUUCUGUUGAGACAUUUUAACUUUUCUCCGUCACACAGUAGGGACUGCAGAUCCUGAACUGAUGCUUGUACAUUCACAACCUGCUGUGUUCAGAUUGGUGGAAAAAUACUUUAAAAGUUAGAAACCAGCCUGUUUUCUUUUCUUAAUUUAAUGUUUGCACUGAAUAAAAAGAAGACGUCACAUACUUAACAGGCAUUUUGUCUUAUUAAGAUCCAACUCUGCUUUUAUUCUUGUGUCAUUUUUGGAUAUUUAUUGUUGAUUAUUUUCUGUUUGAAGUCAGUGUUGUAUACAGGGACGUUCAUUUGUAUAUUGUUUGUGCCAAUUCUCAAAGCUCCAUAUCAAAAGGAUGAGAGUGUGUGUGCUGGCACAAUGGUACCUAACAAGGUCAUGUAUCAGUAAAUAAACGACUAAUAAAGAAAAUUAAAUCUG